GACGAACGCUGGCGGCGUGCUUAACACAUGCAAGUCGAACGGAAAGGCCCUGCUUUUGUGGGGUGCUCGAGUGGCGAACGGGUGAGUAACACGUGAGUAACCUGCCCUUGACUUUGGGAUAACUUCAGGAAACUGGGGCUAAUACCGGAUAGGAGCUCCUGCUGCAUGGUGGGGGUUGGAAAGUUUCGGCGGUUGGGGAUGGACUCGCGGCUUAUCAGCUUGUUGGUGGGGUAGUGGCUUACCAAGGCUUUGACGGGUAGCCGGCCUGAGAGGGUGACCGGCCACAUUGGUACUGAGAUACGGCCCAGACUCCUACGGGAGGCAGCAGUGGGGAAUAUUGCACAAUGGGCGGAAGCCUGAUGCGGCAACGCCGCGUGCGGGAUGACGGCCUUCGGGUUGUAAACCGCUUUCGCCUGUGACGAAGCGUGAGUGACGGUAAUGGGUAAAGAAGCACCGGCUAACUACGUG
rnacentral:rRNA from 1 species